GUUUAUAUAGUUUAAAAAAAAUAUAGCUCUUUCAGCGCUAAGAUAGAUUUAAAAAUCCUAUAAAUA
rnacentral:tRNA from 1 species